AUACCCUAUUAUUUUUAGUGUAAAAUUGAAAGCCAGAGUAUUAAUAGUUAUGAUCUUUAAACUUAAAGAAUUUGGCGGUAUUAUAGUCUAUUUAGAGGAAUCUGUUAUGUAAUCGAUAGACCACGUUGAACCUUACUUAAAUUAUUUUUUAUAUACCGUUGUUUAGGAAAAUAUUUUUAGGUUAAUUUUCUAAAUAUAAUAGUAAUUAGAAUUUCAAAUCAAGGUGUAGAAAUAUUUAAGUUGAAUAAUGGAUUACAAUAAAUUGUAUUUAUAUGGAUAAUUAUUAAAAUAAUAAUUUGAAGGUGGAUUUAAUAGUAAUUUUAUAAAGAUUAAUAAAUUGAUUUAAGCUCUAUAAUAUGUACACAUCGC
rnacentral:rRNA from 1 species